rnacentral:rRNA from 1 species
ACACGAACCGGACAAACGUUAUUCGGAAUUAUUGGGCUUAAAGGGUGCGUAGGCGGCGCGGUAAGUGAGGUGUGAAAGCCCACGGCUCAACCGUGGAACUGCGCUUCAUACUGCCGUGCUAGAGGGAGACAGAGGUAAGCGGAACUGAUGGUGGAGCGGUGAAAUGCGUUGAUAUUAUCAGGAACACCAGUGGCGAAAGCGGCUUACUGGGUCUCUUCUGACGCUGAGGCACGAAAGCUAGGGUAGCGAACGGGAUUAGAAACCCCAGUAGUCC